GUAGUUCAAUGUCCGCCCGGCUGACGCGGUCGGACGGGGAUAGAAUAGAAGUUUCCUAAACUUUAGAUAUGGGUUCCCCGCCUGACGGCCGGCAGGGAUUCCCGUCGGGG
rnacentral:tRNA from 1 species